rnacentral:rRNA from 1 species
CGACGCUGGCGGUGUGCUUCACACAUGCAAGUCGAACGAGGUAGCAAUACCUAGUGGCGGACGGGUGAGUAACGCGUGGGAAUCUGCCUUUAGAUGGGGGAUAACGGGUCGAAAGACUCGCUAAUACCGCAUAUGACGAAAGUUGAAAGGAGUAAUCCGUCUAAAGAUGAGCCCGCGUCCGAUUAGCUAGUUGGUAGAGUAAAAGCCUACCAAGGCGACGAUCGGUAGCUGGUCUGAGAGGAUGAUCAGCCACAAUGGGACUGAGACACGGCCCAUACUCCUACGGGAGGCAGCAGUGGGGAAUUUUACGCAAUGGGCGAAAGCCUGACGUAGCGACACCGCGUGAGCGAAGAAGCCCCUUGGGGUGUAAAGCUCUGUCAGCUGGAACGAAAAAAUGACGGUACCAGCAGAGGAAGCAUCGGCUAACUACGUG